rnacentral:rRNA from 1 species
UGGUUUAUGUUUCAAAUAAUUUAUUGCCGUAGGAUGGGACUGCGGCCUAUCAGUUUGUUGGUGAGGUAAUGGCCCACCAAGACUAUUACAGGUACGGGCUCUGAGAGGAGUAGCCCGGAGAUGGGUACUGAGACACGGACCCAGGCCCUAUGGGGCGCAGCAGGCGAGAAAACUUUGCAAUGUGCGAAAGCACGACAAGGUUAAUCCGAGUGGUUUCUGCUAAAGGAACCUUUUGUCAGUCCUAGAAACACUGAUGAAUAAGGGGUGGGCAAGUUCUGGUGUCAGCCGCCGCGGUAAAACCAGCACCUCAAGUGGUCAGGAUGAUUAUUGGGCCUAAAGCAUCCGUAGCCUGCUUUGUAAGUUUUCGGUUAAAUCCAUACGCUCAACGUAUGGGCUGCCGGGAAUACUGCAAAGCUAGGGAGUGGGAGAGGUAGACGGUACUCGGUAGGAAGGGGUAAAAUCCUUUGAUCUAUUGAUGACCACCUGUGGCGAAGGCGGUCUACCAGAACACGUCCGACGGUGAGGGAUGAAAGCUGGGGGAGCAAACCGGAUUAGAUACCC